CAGGCUGAUUAUUCCCAGGGCUGGGAGGAAAGUUAUUUGCAGAGGAGAACAAGCUCAGGACUCUUCCUAAGAAAGGCUGAGUAAGAAACCGGGUUUCUGACCUCUCUACUCCAGCAAGCUCAGGGUCCUUCCCUCUCUCCUGGCUUUGUGUGUUUGCAUUACUCAUUACGUGGUUUGAAGUUCAGGCUAAGAGCAGCAGCACACUCGCCAAGACACAAGGUUCAAUGGCUUGCUUAGGACACAACGCAGACUACAGCAGGGAUCAGAACAGACUCAAAACAUGCUCAUAGAACUGACGUUUUAUUGAAAAACACGUAAGUUUUAAAAAGUAACUAGUAAAAUUCUCAGUAAACACAGGAGUGCUCAAUUAUAUGUAGUUAUUUAUGCUGGAUAUAUGUUAUGUAUUACAAUAUUAAAUUACAUAGAGUUUAAGUAUUCUGUAGUUUGCCUUUUAUGAUCUCAAAGGUCUUAUUUGAAGACCAAUUUUAAGUUUUUGAAAG
rnacentral:lncRNA from 1 species